rnacentral:rRNA from 1 species
CUACGGAGGGGGCUAGCGUUGUUCGGAAUUACUGGGCGUAAAGCGCGUGUAGGCGGAUCGUUAAGUCAUGGGUGAAAGCCCGGAGCUCAACUCCGGAAUUGCCCUUGAUACUGGCGAUCUAGAGGCCGGGAGAGGUGAGCGGAAUUCCCAGUGUAGAGGUGAAAUUCGUAGAUAUUGGGAGGAACACCAGUGGCGAAGGCGGCUCACUGGCCCGGUUCUGACGCUGAGACGCGAAAGCGUGCGGAGCAAACAGGAUUAGAAACCCUAGUAGUCC